CAUCUUCUCAUUAUUGUUUUUCACUCUAUUGGGCAUAGUAUUGUCGAUAUGAUUAUUACCUCUCUUCAUGCUGGCACAGUUCCCAGCUUCUUUAAACAAGCUGUGGUUGAAUUUUAAGGAAACCACAUUAGGAUUAAUUUCUGUUACAGGCCAAUUUCCAAAUUACCUUUUAUGCUGAAGAUUUUUGGGAAAAACUAGUAGCAAAACAACAGAUUAAUUUUUGGACAAAAACAAUGUUAUGAACAUUUUCCAGUCUUAUUUUCACAAAUUACACUCCAUUAAAACUAAUUUACUGAAGGUUUCUAGUGAAAUUUUGAUUGUAGCUGACACUAGAAAGUACACAGUUUUGGUUUUAUUAGAUCAG